CUCCGCACGCUACUCAGCGGAUUCUCGCGGCUCCUGAGUGUUUAACGCCUUCCGGUUGUUAAGAUCUUUCAAAUGGGAAGAUAAUGACGGUACCCUCAGAAGAAGCUCCGGCUAACUCCGUGCCAGCACCCGCGGUAAUACGGAGGGAGCUAGCGUUGUUCGGAAUUACUGGGCGUAAAGCGUACGUAGGCGGACUAUUAAGUCAGAGGUGAAAUCCCAGGGCUCAACCCUGGAACUGCCUUUGAUACUGGUAGUCUAGAGGUCGAGAGAGGUGAGUGGAAUUCCGAGUGUAGAGGUGAAAUUCGUAGAUAUUCGGAGGAACACCAGUGGCGAAGGCGGCUCACUGGCUCUAUACUGACGCUGAGGUACGAAAGUGUGGGUAGCAAACAGGAUUAGAUACCCUGGUAGUCCACACCGUAAACGAUGAAUGCUAGUCGGCAGGGGACUUGUCCUUUGGUGACGCAGCUAACGCAUUAAGCAUUCCGCCUGGGGAGUACGGGCGCAAGAUUAAAACUCAAAGGAAUUGACGGGGG
rnacentral:rRNA from 1 species